AAUAAAUGAUUUCGACUCAUUAGAUUAUGAUAACCAUACUAACCAA
rnacentral:tRNA from 1 species